AUGCCCCGGUGGGAGCCCUCACUUCCGUCCCGCUGCCGACCUCUCGACCGCCGUACUGGCCUAUAUAAGAAAGGCUCGCCUUCCCCGGCGCUCAUCCUCUUCCAGCGAUCACCCCUGCAUCGUUGCGUCUAUCUCUCAAAUUUUGGCCAUGCCCACGCCCGUUCCUCACCGGAGUCCACUGCCAGCCAGGCCCUCCUGGAAUGCACGAGCUCUUUGGGCUGCCACGCCGUUGGCUCCAGCGGCAGUGUCCGCGCCAGCGACGGCACGCUCACCCUCCUCGCUGGCGGCGACGAGGCCGCCGUCGCAUGCCUCGGCCCGCUCUUUUCCCGCCUCGGUCGACCUAUACACGGCCGGCCGGCGAGCAGAAAAGUCGCCAGCGCCGCUGGGUCGACGCGCGGCUGUGGAAACUCCUGCUUGAACAGAUUACAGGGGUUGGGUGCACUUAUAUACACGUACGAGCCCAAGGGAUCAAUCCUACUCGCCGGCAUCGAGGAAGAAGAGGUGGAGGGCAUGCCCUCUAAGAAUCAGCUGGCCGAGCGCCGCCGGCGCAAGCGCCUGAACUACCGUCUCUCCAUGCUCCACUCCGUCGUGCCCAGCAUGGGACACGGUCGACUACAUGAAGGAGCUGCUGGAGAUGAUCUCCAGGAGGAUAUGGAGGACUCCCAUCCGCAGCCGGCACCGGUGCUGACUGCUGAGUGUGUUCUGAGAGCUGAACCCAACGAGAUGCUGUCCAGGAACACCCCCAAGGUGAGCAAUCUAAGCCACCCACUGUCGCCAGAGGAGAGCCGGGCCAUUGCUGUUUUCAAGGUGGAGCGCAAGGAGGAGGGUCGCGGCGACACCCUGGUAGAUAUCUACUGCACCGUCAAGCCGGGGCUGCUGCUGUCGACGUCUAGCUCCUCACCACGUCGCCCGGCUGGCGGUCAUACUUUGUUCGUGCCGGCUGGUUGUUGCUCUGUGAUUGGUUUGUCAUCUGCUGAUUCCUCUUCUUGUAUGAGCAAUUUCCUUAAUUUCAAUUCUGAUUGGUCUAGCUUUUGUCUGUGUGUGCUUGCCGUCACUUUCUGCUGUUCGGCCGCUGUUGCCAUUCGUGUCGUCGUGAUGUGUUUCUCGAUCGAGCUGUCGCUUUCUCAUGUGGUGCUGUCGGUCUUUGUCAGGGACCAGUGCUGCUUUACGUCCAUCGGUUACUCUGUCUAUGUUGUUCUAGUGGUGCCGCUGUCGAUGUUCCUUCGUGAUGUUGCCAUUUCCGCUGAUCGUCGUAAUGGUCCACGUCGUCAUGUUCGGCCCUGUCGCUCGGGGGGGUCUACAGUUGGUCGGCGAGGUGGUUCGGUCCGUGCUGUUGCUUCUGCUGUUCUGACCGAUCGGGCUAUCGUUUUGCGAUGUGUUUCAUCUUCUCAUAUUCGCUCGCCGUCUCGGUUUGGUCGUCCUGUGCGUCGUUCGCGUGAUUUCUGUGAGCGAUCUCCUGAUUUGCUGGAUCUUGCAGCGCAGUCUGGUGGUGAUGCUUUUGCUAGGCGGCGUAGGGAGGUGAUCCGGGUGGGCAAGCGGCCCAUCGAUUCUACUCUCGAUGUCCCUUUUUGCGCGGCGAAGUCGUGUGGACGUGAUUCUGUUCCUGCUACUGGUUGUUUUUUUGCUCUAGGGCCUGUUGCACCUCGUUGGUUACCUGUGUCCUUGCAUGCAUGGCGCAUGCACGUGUGCCUGGUGUUGAUGGGAGCACCCCGUUGUGUACCCGCGCGCCUGCAUGCAUGGCGCAUGUACGUGGGCCUGGUGCUGAUAGGUGCACCCGGUGGUGUAUCCGUCAGUUUACGUGCCUGGCGCAUGCAUCUAUGUGGUCUAUCGUCGAUCACCGUGGUUAAUUGGAUUGUGAUUUUUGUCUUCGAUUCCAUACUGGGUUUCACGGCAUUCAUUCACUUCAAGUAUCGAAAGGCAAAGAGUUUAGCCAUGAGUACCAACCACUCGGCCAAGAGCUUCCCAUCAGGAAAACAAUCAAAGAAAAAGGAAAAGAAGUUUGUUUCAAGUUCUUCUUCCAAUGCUACCCCAGUUAACAUGGCGUCCGUGCACAUGGGAGCAGUAUAUUCCACAGGGAGCAUCAAUGAAAAUCCUUUAAUUUUCAAAGGAGAACCCGUAGCAACACAAGACGAGGCGGAAGAAGGGGCUGCUCAAGUAGCGCUGGACUACAUUUGUGAGAACUAUGCUAUCACAAUCAACGACUACAAUUAUUCUGUGUUGCAUGCAACAAAUCAAAAGCUUCUAUCAGCUCAAGAAAAGAUGCGUGCAAAGCAUUGGCAGUUCAACAUGGCCAAACGUGAGGUUGCUGCUCGCCAAGCCGAGACUUAUGUACAAUAUAAACUGUCGACCGGCGCGGCGUGCCGCCGCGCGAGUCGCUGGCGGGCCUACAGCCUCUGCUGCGCCCGGGCCCCGCCAGUGGGCCUCGCCGCCACAGCCGGAGGCGGCCUCCUCCUGGCGCGCUGGUUGGCCGACAGCCUCUGCUGCGCGCGGGUCGAGGCUUGGGCCAGACCGCCCCUGUUGCUGGCAGCAUCUUUUCUUAUGCAUGCGCGGGAAAACAACACUAUUCCGUGA
rnacentral:rRNA from 1 species